UUGUAAUUUCAAAUUCCUCCACUUUUGGUCCCUCAUUUUACGUGUCAUGUAUGCAGAUUCUGCUGACGUGGUGGAAUAAGGGACCAAAAGUGGAAGAAUUUGAAAUUACAG
rfam:Medicago truncatula strain A17 chromosome 4, whole genome shotgun sequence.